rnacentral:rRNA from 1 species
AGUGAACGCUGGCGGUAGGCCUAACACAUGCAAGUCGAACGGCAGCACAGUAAGAGCUUGCUCUUACGGGUGGCGAGUGGCGGACGGGUGAGGAAUACAUCGGAAUCUACUUUUUCGUGGGGGAUAACGUAGGGAAACUUACGCUAAUACCGCAUACGACCUACGGGUGAAAGCAGGGGAUCUUCGGACCUUGCGCGAUUGAAUGAGCCGAUGUCGGAUUAGCUAGUUGGCGGGGUAAAGGCCCACCAAGGCGACGAUCCGUAGCUGGUCUGAGAGGAUGAUCAGCCACACUGGAACUGAGACACGGCCCAGACUCCUACGGGAGGCAGCAGUGGGGAAUAUUGGACAAUGGGCGCAAGCCUGAUCCAGCCAUACCGCGUGGGUGAAGAGGGCCUUCGGGUUGUAAAGCCCUUUUGUUGGGAAAGAAAAGCAGCAGGUUAAUACCCCGCUGUUCUGACGGUACCCAAAGAAUAAGCACCGGCUAACUUCGUG